rnacentral:rRNA from 1 species
AUGCACGCUGGCGGCGUGCCUCAUCCCUGCAAGUCGCGCGAACAGAUAAGGAGCUUGCUCCUUUGAAGUUAGCGGCGGACGGGUGAGUAACACGUGGGUAACCUACCUAUAAGACUGGGAUAACUUCGGGAAACCGGAGCUAAUACCGGAUAACAUUUAGAACCGCAUGGUUCUAAAGUGAAAGAUGGUUUUGCUAUCACUUAUAGAUGGACCCGCGCCGUAUUAGCUAGUUGGUAAGGUAACGGCUUACCAAGGCGACGAUACGUAGCCGACCUGAGAGGGUGAUCGGCCACACUGGAACUGAGACACGGUCCAGACUCCUACGGGAGGCAGCAGUAGGGAAUCUUCCGCAAUGGGCGAAAGCCUGACGGAGCAACGCCGCGUGAGUGAUGAAGGGUUUCGGCUCGUAAAACUCUGUUAUUAGGGAAGAACAAAUGUGUAAGUAACUGUGCACAUCUUGACGGUACCUAAUCAGAAAGCCACGGCUAACUACGUG